AUAAACAGACAGGACUCGACACGCCGUAAACUUAAUAUUCAACACAGACCGUAGUAAUCAACUCCUCAACAGAAGUGAAACCAAGAAACCUCAUAUUUAACUGGAUAUAUGCAUUGCAGUUGUAACUGCGGCCAAAUAUCGUUCAGACCUGGGCUCAUCUUAUUAUCAGAUGAUUGCUGCGCGCUUAUUGUUAUCAUUACGGUAUAUUAGCAAAACCAAAGCAUAUUUUCUUUAAAGCGUUUUACACGCCCAAUAAGUUGUCCGAUACAUUUUGUAUGGCAUAUUAUUUACACCACUUCAGAUGUAUUACAUGCAAUAUAAGUUUCCAAAACACCUCAAAUCAAUGCACAAAAGGAGAAUGGGCUCCGCAUUUACGUAAUAGCAUGACAGGUACCUUCUUCUCGUCUGUCAUCUGAUUCUUCAUCUCUGGAUGUAAAAUAGUCCAUUAUAACAUCGUGUAGGACACUGGCAUCAACAGGAUUGCUCAAAUUGCGGCGAUCAUGUUAAUCCUUAAAGUGAGCAACUUUGUAAAAAAAAAACUUUGCGUGAAAUAGUGUGUUACACCGCCGCCUGUCCGGGUGAAACAUUAAAGAGGCAGGCUUGUUACCUUGUCACUAUAAAUCGCUAUUUCCUCACUAAAUAUAUUUUCAGAGAUUUUCUGUAGACAAGAUGUUAUAAUAAUAAUUUAAUAAAAACCCAAUUCUGACAAAAGUUACAUUUGACUUAUUUAGUUACUUUUCUGAAAAUCUUAUUCCACUGGUAUGCAUCAUAUUAAACAGAAUGCUUUCAAUGUCAGCCAGUAACACAUCAUAUCUUUUUUUUACAGCUCUAACGUUACAGUUUGCUCCACUUUGCUCUGUGGUUUAUAUGUUUUCUUCUUACCAUUGCUUGUAAGCUGGAUUGAGUAAGAUGGAUCAUCUUUAAAGGAACCAGGAGUUAAGGCAGAUGUGGAGGCACACGGGUGACACCAGACACACACCAAGCACAUUGUUCGGACAUUCAAUCAUGACAUGAUCCAUGUGGAUGCUGUCCAUUGAGGAAAGAGUUUGUUCCGAGGUUUCUUGACAGAAUUAAUCCCAAAGAUGGGAAAAAGUGCACAUCCAGACAAGGAGCAAGCAAAAAGACAAGGAACUUGGUGCAGAGAAAAGCUGUGGCCAUUAACCCCCAUGUGAACAGCUUCAUGCAGUCCCUGAUAGAGUUUGAAUGGGCGACUUCAAACUAAAGGCCAGUGUCUGUCUGCCACAGUUUAAUGCAUUUAUUUUUAGUGUUCAAUAAAAUUCAAAUAGAAUAUUUAAAACUAUGAGCCAGUGUUCUUUUUACCACAGUUAAAUGUUACCUUUUAGUCGAUGAUGGACUUUAAACUGAAAACUUCAAACUAUGGACCAGUGUUCUAUUUGCCAGAGUUAAAUAUGUUACAGCAGGGGCCUCCA